UUUAUGGAGAGUUUGAUCCUGGCUCAGAGUGAACGCUGGCGGCGUGCCUAAUACAUGCAAGUCGAACGAUGAAGCUUCUAGCUUGCUAGAGUGCUGAUUAGUGGCGCACGGGUGAGUAACGCAUAGGUUAUGUGCCUCUUAGUUUGGGAUAGCCAUUGGAAACGAUGAUUAAUACCAGAUACUCCCUAUGGGGGAAAGAUUUAUCGCUAAGAGAUCAGCCUAUGUCCUAUCAGCUUGUUGGUAAGGUAAUGGCUUACCAAGGCUAUGACGGGUAUCCGGCCUGAGAGGGUGAACGGACACACUGGAACUGAGACACGGUCCAGACUCCUACGGGAGGCAGCAGUAGGGAAUAUUGCUCAAUGGGGGAAACCCUGAAGCAGCAACGCCGCGUGGAGGAUGAAGGUUUUAGGAUUGUAAACUCCUUUUGUUAGAGAAGAUAAUGACGGUAUCUAACGAAUAAGCACCGGCUAACUCCGUGCCAGCAGCCGCGGUAAUACGGAGGGUGCAAGCGUUACUCGGAAUCACUGGGCGUAAAGAGCGCGUAGGCGGGAUAGUCAGUCAGGUGUGAAAUCCUAUGGCUUAACCAUAGAACUGCAUUUGAAACUACUAUUCUAGAGUGUGGGAGAGGUAGGUGGAAUUCUUGGUGUAGGGGUAAAAUCCGUAGAGAUCAAGAGGAAUACUCAUUGCGAAGGCGACCUGCUGGAACAUUACUGACGCUGAUUGCGCGAAAGCGUGGGGAGCAAACAGGAUUAGAUACCCUGGUAGUCCACGCCCUAAACGAUGGAUGCUAGUUGUUGGAGGGCUUAGUCUCUCCAGUAAUGCAGCUAACGCAUUAAGCAUCCCGCCUGGGGAGUACGGUCGCAAGAUUAAAACUCAAAGGAAUAGACGGGGACCCGCACAAGCGGUGGAGCAUGUGGUUUAAUUCGAAGAUACACGAAGAACCUUACCUAGGCUUGACAUUGAGAGAAUCCGCUAGAAAUAGUGGAGUGUCUAGCUUGCUAGACCUUGAAAACAGGUGCUGCACGGCUGUCGUCAGCUCGUGUCGUGAGAUGUUGGGUUAAGUCCCGCAACGAGCGCAACCCCCUUUCUUAGUUGCUAACAGGUUAUGCUGAGAACUCUAAGGAUACUGCCUCCGUAAGGAGGAGGAAGGUGGGGACGACGUCAAGUCAUCAUGGCCCUUACGCCUAGGGCUACACACGUGCUACAAUGGGGUGCACAAAGAGAAGCAAUACUGCGAAGUGGAGCCAAUCUUCAAAACACCUCUCAGUUCGGAUUGUAGGCUGCAACUCGCCUGCAUGAAGCUGGAAUCGCUAGUAAUCGCAAAUCAGCCAUGUUGCGGUGAAUACGUUCCCGGGUCUUGUACUCACCGCCCGUCACACCAUGGGAGUUGUGUUUGCCUUAAGUCAGGAUGCUAAAUUGGCUACUGCCCACGGCACACACAGCGACUGGGGUGAAGUCGUAACAAGGUAACCGUAGGUGAACCUGCGGUUGGAUCACCUCCUUUCUAGA
rnacentral:rRNA from 1 species